UUAGAAGAAUUGUUUUCUAAAGAAAACUGCUUCCUGAUGUUGGCGCAGGUGGGCUCUCUGUGAUAUCUGCGGCCAUGGUAGUCCAUUUUUCCUACUAACUUUGUUAAUGUCCUGAGAAAAACUAGAAAUUUGAAUAGGAUAUAAAGAAUAGGAUUUCCCAGAAGAAGAGACAUUUUUAUCCCAGUAAUCGACAAUAAAAUGGGGUGUAGAGAGAUGUAUCCAGAGCUGCACAGCUAGUGGACGUCUGAGCAGGAGCCACAUGCAGAAGAGUCUGACUCCAGGGCCUCAGCGUGUAAUGCCCUACACCUGCUGCAUGGGUUUAC
rnacentral:lncRNA from 10 species